CCUACGGGGGGCAGCAGUGAGGAAUAUUGGUCAAUGGACGCAAGUCUGAACCAGCCAUGCCGCGUGCAGGAAGACGGCUCUAUGAGUUGUAAACUGCUUUUGUACAAGAGUAAACCUGGAUACGUGUAUUCAGCUGAAAGUACUGUACGAAUAAGGAUCGGCUAACUCCGUGCCAGCAGCCGCGGUAAUACGGAGGAUCCAAGCGUUAUCCGGAUUUAUUGGGUUUAAAGGGUGCGUAGGCGGAUUGAUAAGUUAGAGGUGAAAUGUCCGAGCUUAACUCGGGAACUGCCUCUGAUACUGGUGAUCUAGAGAGUAGAUGAGGUAGGCGGAAUGUAAGGUGUAGCGGUGAAAUGCGUAGAGAUC
rnacentral:rRNA from 1 species